GUUGAAAAUGCAGUUUCCUGUGCCCCACCCCAGAACCACUGACUGACCCUCCUGGGGUGGGGUCCAGGAAUCUGCUUUUU
rnacentral:miRNA from 1 species